rnacentral:tRNA from 1 species
GAUACAGUCGGAUAGUGGUUAUUCCGUCACAUUGCUAUGAUGUGGUGCCUUCGGGCGCGUGAGUUCGAAUCUCACCUGUGUCA